GAUGAAGAACGUAGCGAAAUGCGAUACGUAAUGUGAAUUGCAAAUUCAGUGAAUCAUCGAGUCUUUGAACGCACAUUGCGCCCCAUGGUAUUCCGUGGGGCAUGCCUGUUCGAGCGUCAUUUACCCCCUCAAGCUCCGCUUGGUGUUGGGCGUCUGUCCCGCUUCGCGCGCGGACUCGCCCCAAAGGUAUUGGCAGCGGUCGUGCCAGCUUCUCGCGCAGCACAUUGCGCUUCUCGAGGCACCGGUGGGCCCGCGUCCAUCAAGCUCACCCCCCCAGUUUGACCUCGGAUCAGGUAGGGAUACCCGCUGAACUUAAGCAUAUCAAUAAGCGGAGGA
rnacentral:misc_RNA from 1 species